AACAGCGCUUCUUUGUUGCCAUGGGAACUCAGCUGGAAUUCUGUCCGAGCAUCGUCGCUGAACUGAGCGAUGGCCACCUGCAGCGAGGCGGAGACAGACGGACAGAAAGUUAUGGGGAAUUCAAGCGGCAACCCUCAGCGCUGGGAAAUCAAUCCAAGAUGGAAGAGUCAACUACAGUUCUUCAAAUGGAAACUUAUAGCUGGCUCCGAAAGCGAGACAAUCUGCACACACCCCAGAGGCUAAAAUGGCCAACUUUAUAGCAGAAACAAACAUGUUAACAGCCUGUUGCAAAAAGGUUUUUGGUCUCUACGGCUUAUCUCUCCCUCACAACUACUCUCGGUGAGGUAACAAAUAACCGCGGCCGGGUCACAUGACUGACCUGAGUACCGUCUGGGCCAAUCAGAUCCAGUGAUCCCAUGGUGCUGUAGAGAAAACGCGUGAUCUUCAUGAAGUUAUCGUCUCCAAUGGACCACGAACCAUCGACCAGGAAAGCCAGGUCGGCCUUGGCCUCCCUGCACACUAGAUGGAUGGACAGAAGGACAGAUGGAAAGAAGAGAUAGAUAGAAGAUUUUGUCAGCACAUACUUGGUCUCUGCAAAAAACUUCACAGAGAACGAAAGACGAACCAUAGCUUGAAUGUUUAACUGGCUGCAAAGUGAAUAUGCAGAGUCCAGAUCCUUAAAUUUCUUUGCACAUCAUGGCAUGAAUGUCUAUUGCUCUAAAAUUCUCUUUAAAACCACAAAAAUGUGUUUUACCCAACAUGUGUAUGGAUCUUUCUCCAUCUGUUUGCUUCUCGUUAUUAAUCCUGGUCCAGCGGGGAAUCUACUUAUUCUUCUUAGGUUUCCAAAUGCAGUAAAGUUGUUUUGUGGCUUUAACAACUUUUCAAACCCAUUUUCUUUUUCAAAAUGUAUUCAUGACCACGUUAGGCUCAAUAAAAGAUUGAGGAAAACCUUA